CUUCCACUCUAUUCCAUUGAUGCAAAUUUUUCUCUUUUUUUCAUGAUUGACCACUCGCAAUGGAGUUGGAAGCAGGAGGGAUGUGGGUCAGGCAUCUGCAUGUGCUGCUGAAUUCGAUUGAUGGUUCUUGAUUGCUGAGUAAUUCCUGUUAGUUGUUAUAUGUGCUGCUGAAUUCUCUAGUAGGGACUUGAUUCAUGUUGGUUGCUGACUUCAUUGUUGAUUGUUGAUUGUCGAGAGAAAAUCCAAGUGAGUGGUUGCAUGCUGGCGCUGGCGAUGCAUCAUCUCCCGCCCAUGCAGCCUCCCCACUAUGCCUCCACACCCAGAUUUGAGUCCUCUCGGUCUCCAUCCCCCGUCUAUGGUCGGCAACAACAAUCACAAUGAUAGCUAAGUGGUGCAACCAGGGGAUGGCAUACAUACGUUGUUGCCGUCGGCUGGCCUCUGCUCGCAUUCAGGAAUGAUGCGUGUUUGCUUUACUGUAGGUGCUUUGGCGCUCUGUAUUUGCUUGUUGUAGAUGCUCUGCUUCCUCUGUUUGCUGCUUUGUCGUGUAGCAAUCAGGUGGUUUGUAGCUGCUGAUGUAAUCCAAGAUGAAGCAGGCACACAUGUGGACGCUGCUUCUCGCUUGUCUAGCUGCAACUGAUCGCUGGACAAUCACUUAGGGCAGUAUCAUUGCCAUAUAAUUAUUGCAGAGUUGUGUAAGUUUGAUUCAUGAAUGAUAGGACCAAGGAAGGAUAAAUGAAAUGCUUUGCAGUUCAAAAGAGAGUUAACAAUGAUUUAACGACGUUGGAUGGCUGAAUGUGCUCCUAAAGAAGAGGUCGGCUGCUAACAGGUUCCAGGUGGCUGGGAUUGAGGAAAUUAUAUCAGGAAACGAUUUUACAAGGAUGCAUCCCUUUUUACAUGGGGAAGCAGAUAACAAUAACGAACCAAGCAAGAUGACUAUGGUGCGUGACCUCAAGCUAUGAUAGGACAGAAACUGGAUCUUCUGUGCCCGUUGAAGAUGAGAUGGAUGAAGUUACUGAUGAAGCAAUUGGUGCAAAGCUCAAUAUUUUAUAUACACAGAAAAGGGCA